UUAAGUUCAGCGGGUAUCCCUACCUGAUCCGAGGUCAAAGACGGUGGUCAUCUUGCUGGAUCGCGUCCCGGGAGCCGCCCUCGAGAAGCGCAAUGUGCUGCGCGAGAGGGGGCAAAGGAACGCUGCCAAUGGAUUUGGGGCGAGUCCACGCGCGGGGGCGGGGACAGACGCCCAACACCAAGCAGAGCUUGAGGGUGUAG
rnacentral:misc_RNA from 1 species